rnacentral:rRNA from 1 species
UACGGAGGGGGCUAGCGUUGUUCGGAAUUACUGGGCGUAAAGCGCACGUAGGCGGCUUUGUAAGUUAGAGGUGAAAGCCCGGGGCUCAACUCCGGAAUUGCCUUUAAGACUGCAUCGCUAGAAUUGUGGAGAGGUAAGUGGAAUUCCGAGUGUAGAGGUGAAAUUCGUAGAUAUUCGGUAGAACACCAGUGGCGAAGGCGACUUACUGGACACAUAUUGACGCUGAGGAGCGAAAGCGUGGGGAGCGAACAGG